CACAGAGAGCACUAAGCGUAGAAAAAUCCCACCACCCCUACCCGGGAGCCCCUAGACUGGGAGUCAUCCAUCCAGGAAAAGCAGACCCCACACCAACACAUAGCUGUAUGAGAGGCUAACCCGAUACACCGAGCGGGAGCACACGCUCCAAACCCACACCCCCUCGACUGACAAAGGUCCCUAAGACCAACACACAUAUAAGGACCCCAACAAAAG